rnacentral:rRNA from 1 species
UACGGAGGGUGCAAGCGUUAUCCGGAUUCACUGGGUUUAAAGGGUGCGUAGGUGGCUUUGUAAGUCAGUGGUGAAAGCCCGGAGCUCAACUCCGGAACUGCCAUUGAUACUGCUUAGCUUGAAUCAGGUCGAGGUGGAUGGAAUAUUACAUGUAGCGGUGAAAUGCUUAGAGAUGUAAUAGAACACCGAUUGCGAAGGCAGUUCACUAGGCCUGUAUUGACACUGAGGCACGAAAGCGUGGGGAUCAAACAGG